rnacentral:lncRNA from 1 species
CUGCAGUAAUUCUAAUAUAGCUCUAAUGAUUAAAAGAAAAAAAAAAACACCCUGGAUAGGAGUGAUUGUGUAUUAAAUGUUUUCCUAACUCUGUUAGGAUAUUUUCAGCUACAUAUUCAAAGUAACAAAAUCCCAGACUGAAAUAGCUUCCACAAUAAAGAAACGUAUUAUCUUAUAUAACAGGAAGAAGAGAGGUAGUGCAGGCUUCAUAUUUCAGCACUUCAGCAACUCAGCAAUGUCAUCAGGAACCCAGGAGCUUUCAGUCUCUGAUCUGCAUUCUCUCACAUAGCUGGUUCUCGUGGCAGCUAAAGUGGGUCAAGAGGAAAGACAGUAGCAGCUUCCGAGACCAACACAAUCCUCAGGAAGUCAUCUCAUCAGCCCAUUCUCCAGUGUCAUGAAAACUACACUUCCUGCCAUUUCAGAGAGAAGGUUAAUCGUUGCCGUGGACCUGCCAGCCAUGGACCUGCCUUAGAGAAUUUGGGCUGUUGGUACAAGCUGGACGACGCAGAGCAGACAGUGAGGGGGUUGUGGGCAGAGCUCCUGCGCUCAUGUUUCCCACUGUGUGCCUGAUGCGCAGCACUUUGGCAGGAAUUUGUAUUCCUUAUAAUAACUGUAUGAUGUUGAUGCAGUUAUUAUCCUUGUUAGACCAACGAGGAAAUGAACACUUAAAGAAGUGAAGUGACUUGCUUAAGGUCACACAUCCAAGGGCAAGAAUGACG